GAUGAACGCUGGCGGCGUGCCUAAUACAUGCAAGUCGAGCGAACAGACGAGGAGCUUGCUCCUCUGACGUUAGCGGCGGACGGGUGAGUAACACGUGGAUAACCUACCUAUAAGACUGGGAUAACUUCGGGAAACCGGAGCUAAUACCGGAUAAUAUAUUGAACCGCAUGGUUCAAUAGUGAAAGACGGUUUUGCUGUCACUUAUAGAUGGAUCCGCGCCGCAUUAGCUAGUUGGUAAGGUAACGGCUUACCAAGGCAACGAUGCGUAGCCGACCUGAGAGGGUGAGAGGCGACAGGGGAAAUGAGACACGGGACAGAAGCAUAGUGGAGGCAGCAGUAGGGAAUCGUUCGGAAGGGGGGAAAGUCUGAAGGAGAAACGAAGAGUGAGGAAUGAAUGUGUUCGGAUAGGAAAAAUGUGUGACGAGGGAAAAACAAAGGGGGAAGGAACGAGGCACGUAGGGAAGGGACGGAAGAAGAAAGAGACGGCGAACUACGUG
rnacentral:rRNA from 1 species